AAGGAAUUAGUUUAAUUAAAAUAUAAAUUUGUCAAAUUUAAGAUACUAUUCAAGUGUUUUUUA
rnacentral:tRNA from 1 species